rnacentral:rRNA from 1 species
GAAAGAAAGAUUAAUACCCGAUGGCAUAGUUCUUCCGCAUGGUAGAACUAUUAAAGAAUUUCGGUCAUCGAUGGGGAUGCGUUCCAUUAGGUUGUUGGCGGGGUAACGGCCCACCAAGCCUUCGAUGGAUAGGGGUUCUGAGAGGAAGGUCCCCCACAUUGGAACUGAGACACGGUCCAAACUCCUACGGGAGGCAGCAGUGAGGAAUAUUGGUCAAUGGACGAGAGUCUGAACCAGCCAAGUAGCGUGAAGGAUGACUGCCCUAUGGGUUGUAAACUUCUUUUAUACGGGAAUAAAGUGAGGCACGUGUGCCUUUUUGUAUGUACCGUAUGAAUAAGGAUCGGCUAACUCCGUGCCAGCAGCCGCGGUAAUACGGAGGAUCCGAGCGUUAUCCGGAUUUACUGGGUUUAAAGGGAGCGUAGGCGGACGCUUAAGUCAGUUGUGAAAGUUUGCGGCUCAACCGUAAAAUUGCAGUUGAUACUGGGUGUCUUGAGUACAGUAGAGGCAGGCGGAAUUUGUGGUGUAGCGGUGAAAUGCUUAGAUAUCACGAAGAACUCCGAUUGCGAAGGCAGCCUGCUGGACUGUAACUGACGCUGAUGCUCGAAAGUGUGGGUAUCAAACAGGAUUAGAUACCCUGGUAGUCCACACAGUAAACGAUGAAUACUCGCUGUUUGCGAUAUACAGUAAGCG